AGUGAACGCUGGCGGUAGGCCUAACACAUGCAAGUCGAACGGCAGCACAGUAAGAGCUUGCUCUUACGGGUGGCGAGUGGCGGACGGGUGAGGAAUACAUCGGAAUCUACUUUUUCGUGGGGGAUAACGUAGGGAAACUUACGCUAAUACCGCAUACGACCUACGGGUGAAAGCAGGGGAUCUUCGGACCUUGCGCGAUUGAAUGAGCCGAUGUCGGAUUAGCUAGUUGGCGGGGUAAAGGCCCACCAAGGCGACGAUCCGUAGCUGGUCUGAGAGGAUGAUCAGCCACACUGGAACUGAGACACGGUCCAGACUCCUACGGGAGGCAGCAGUGGGGAAUAUUGGACAAUGGGCGCAAGCCUGAUCCAGCCAUACCGCGUGGGUGAAGAAGGCCUUCGGGUUGCAAAGCCCUUUUGUUGGGAAAGAAAAGCAGCAGGUUAAUACCCCGCUGUUCUGACGGGACCCAAAGAAUAAGCACCGGCUAACUUCGU
rnacentral:rRNA from 1 species